UUACACGAGUGCAACAACAGUAUAAUGUGACUAAUAUUGAUUUUUGGUUUCACAUGUACAAGGCCAAUUUGUACUGCGAGAAGUUAUCUUAGUCAAAUCUAUCAAGUUUUAACAUAUUGCUCAAAAAUAUAUUUUAUCACAUCUAAAUGGAUGAAAAGCUACAUUAACCUGAAUAAGAUUUGAACUCAUACAGAAACAAAUAUAAAAACUAUAAGACAUUUUAACCUGACACUUCAUUAUCUCUAUCACCUCAGUCUUGGAACCAAUAAUGGAGGAGAACAUCUGGCUGAACUAAUUAAGAUACUGGACAAUAAACUGAGUAAAUUUGAACAACUAUGUAUGUAUGUAUAUAUACAUGAUAUAUAUAUGAACAGUGUCAACCCAAACAUACAGUUCACAAUGGAGUACAACCAAAAGGAGCUCCCAUUCUUGGAUAUACUAAUUAAAAAAGUAAACCUAAAAAUAGAAACGGACAUAUUUUA